AAGGCAACACGUGCUGUCGCGCAAAAUUGCGAGGAAAGUCUGGACAACCGAAACCGCCAUACUUCCUAACGGGAAGGUGCGCACGGGGGGACUUGUGCGUAACAGAAAGUGCCACAGAAAAUAUACCGCCGUUGCAUUGCAAAGGUAAGGGUGAAAACGUAGGGUAAGAGCCUACGCACACGUUUGGUGACAGGCGAGUGAGGUAAACCUUAUGGGUUGAAAGAACAAAUAUAUCGUCAGUGAGUGGCUUUGGUUACUCAAUAGAAUAGGUUUCUUCUUUGGCGAGGGGUAGUUCGAUAGAGCGGAACAGCGAUGUUCCGUCGAGAUAAAUGACAGCAGUCAGCUUUUACAGCAGUCACAGAAUCCGGCUUACAGUGUUGCCUUUUUU
rnacentral:RNase_P_RNA from 1 species